AGAGUUUGAUCCUGGCUCAGGAUUAACGCUAGCGGCAGGCCUAAUACAUGCAAGUCGAACGGUAACAGGUGUAGCAAUACAUGCUGACGAGUGGCGCACGGGUGCGUAACACGUAUGUAAUCUGCCUUUAACUGGGGGAUAACUCCUCGAAAGAGGAGCUAAUACCGCAUAACAUCACUGGACGGCAUCGCCUGGUGAGCAAACCUACGGGGGUUAAAGAUGAACAUGCGACUGAUUAGUUAGUUGGCGGGGUAACGGCCCACCAAGACUACGAUCAGUAGGGGAUCUGAGAGGAUGAUCCCCCACACGGGUACUGAGACACGGACCCGACUCCUACGGGAGGCAGCAGUAAGGAAUAUUGGACAAUGGAGGCAACUCUGAUCCAGCCAUGCCGCGUGAAGGAUGAAUGCGCUAUGCGUUGUAAACUUCUUUUAUACGGGAAAAAUAUCCGCUAUUCUUAGCGGAUUGAUUGUACUGUAAGAAUAAGGGUCGGCUAACUUCGUGCCAGCAGCCGCGGUAAUACGAAGGACCCGAGCGUUAUCCGGAUUUAUUGGGUUUAAAGGGUGCGUAGGCGUCCUGGAAAGUUACGGUUGAAAUCUCCUUGCUCAACAAGGAAACUGGCCGUAAAACUAUCAGGAUUGAGUACAUUUGAAGCGGGCGGAAUGUGUCAUGUAGCGGUGAAAUGCUUAGAUAUGACACAGAACACCAAUUGCGAAGGCAGCUCGCUAAACUGUAACUGACGCUGAGGCACGAAAGCGUGGGGAUCAAACAGGAUUAGAUACCCUAGUAGUCC
rnacentral:rRNA from 1 species